rnacentral:rRNA from 1 species
AGUCGUAACAAGGUUUCCGUAGGUGAACCUGCGGAAGGAUCAUUAAUGAAUACAGAUGCCUGUCGAGCUUGCUUACGGGUUUUCUAUCAUAUCCAUAACACCUGUGCACUUGUUGGAUGUUCUAAAGACGUAGGCUUAAAGCUGAAGUCAAUAGUCAUCCACUUACACUAAACAAUAAUGUAACAAAUGUAGUCUUAUUAUAACAUAAUAAAACUUUCAACAACGGAUCUCUUGGCUCUCGCAUCGAUGAAGAACGCAGCGAAAUGCGAUAAGUAAUGUGAAUUGCAGAAUUCAGUGAAUCAUCGAAUCUUUGAACGCACCUUGCGCUCCUUGGUAUUCCGAGGAGCAUGCCUGUUUGAGUGUCAUGAAAACCCUCAACCUUAGAUUGGUUAUUUGACCUUUCUUUGGCUUGGAUUUGGACGUUUGCCGAUGUCAAGUCGGCUCGUCUUAAAAGUAAUAGCUGGAUCUGUCUCGCGACAUGGUUUGACUUGGCGUAAUAAGUAUUUCGCUAAGGACUAAAAGUCG